rnacentral:ncRNA from 4 species
UACGAAGGGGGCUAGCGUUGUUCGGAUUUACUGGGCGUAAAGCGCGUGUAGGCGGACUUGUAAGUUGGGGGUGAAAUCCCGAGGCUCAACCUCGGAACUGCCUCCAAAACUACAAGUCUGGAGCAAGAUAGAGGCAAGUGGAAUUGCGAGUGUAGAGGUGAAAUUCGUAGAUAUUCGCAGGAACACCAGUGGCGAAGGCGACUUGCUGGAUCUUUGCUGACGCUGAGACGCGAAAGCGUGGGGAGCAAACAGG